UGGGGAAUCUUCCGCAAUGGACGAAAGUCUGACGGAGCAACGCCGCGUGAGUGAAGAAGGUUUUCGGAUCGUAAAACUCUGUCUUUUGGGGCGAACGUGAGUAUGGUGAACAAUCAUAGUCAGUGACGGUACCAAAGGAGGAAGCCACGGCUAACUACGUGCCAGCAGCCGCGGUAAUACGUAGGUGGCAAGCGUUGUCCGGAAUUAUUGGGCGUAAAGAGCGCGUAGGCGGGAUAGUCAGUCUGUUGUAAAGUGCGGGGCUCAACCCCGUGAUCGCAAUGGAAACAGCUAUUCUUGAGUGCAGGAGAGGAAAGUGGAAUUCCCAGUGUAGCGGUGAAAUGCGUAGAUAUUGGGAGGAACACCAGUGGCGAAGGCGACUUUCUGGACUGUGUCUGACGCUGAGGCGCGAAAGCCGGGGGAGCGAACGGGAUUAGAUACCCCGGUAGUCCUGGCCGUAAACGAUGGGUACUAGGUGUGGGAGGUAUCGACCCCCUUUCCGUGCCGGAGUUAACGCAAUAAGUACCCCCG
rnacentral:rRNA from 1 species